GUGUUAGCUUUAUUUAAAUCCUAUAGGACCGGGUCGGUUCGUUGGAUUAACCCAUUGGGUCACUUAAUAUCUAUUACUUUAACUUGUAAUGAUGAUAUAGCAUGACAGUUGACCGAGAUAUCUGCCAUGCAUUAAUGUGGAUGGGAUUAUAGUCGGCCGGCGGUAGAAAACAGUGGCCAAAAGCAGUGGAUAAGUUCCAUGCAGUCGGCAGAACCCAUCAGAUCAGAGGGGGUGUCAGAUAGUAGUGGGUGG
rnacentral:lncRNA from 1 species